UACGUAGGGUGCAAGCGUUAAUCGGAAUUACUGGGCGUAAAGCGUGCGCAGGUGAUUAUGUAAGACAGUUGUGAAAUCCCCGGGCUCAACCUGGGAACUGCAUCUGUGACUGCAUAGCUAGAGUACGGUAGAGGGGGAUGGAAUUCCGCGUGUAGCAGUGAAAUGCGUAGAUAUGCGGAGGAACACCGAUGGCGAAGGCAAUCCCCUGGACCUGUACUGACGCUCAUGCACGAAAGCGUGGGGAGCAAACAGG
rnacentral:rRNA from 1 species